GCGAGAGGCAUCAGGAUCCCUGGCGGCGCCUGAGCCAGCGGCUGCUAGGAGGCUGUGUCCGCAAGCCAGCGGGGCGAGGCGCCUGGGCCCUGCGCGUCAGGUCCCGGCCUGGGGCACCGGGGCUGCCAGCGUCGGAGGAGGCCUGAGACCUGGGAGGAAGCUGGAGAAAAGAUGCCCUCUGAAUCUUUGUGUUUGGCUGCCCAGGCUCGCCUUGACACCGAAUGGUUGAAAACAGAUAUACAGAUGGUAGUGUCGAACCAAGUGGAACAAAGAAAGAAGAUCUGAAUGACAAAGAGAAAAAAAAUGAAGACGAAACUCCUGCACCUGUAUAUAGGGCCAAGUCAAUUCUGGAGACCUGGGUGUGGGUCAAGCAACCAGGAAACGGAAGCCCAAAGAGGAGGGGAGCUUACAGCAGGCCCUGGACUAGGGAUUAACACAAAAACAACAGCAACAAAUCUGAUUUAAGCUUCACACAUAUACUCGGGAGACUGAGGCAGGAGAAUCGCUUGAACCUGGGAUGCAGAGGUUGCAGUGAGCCGAGAUCGCACCAUUGCACUCC
rnacentral:lncRNA from 1 species